ACCAUGCUGAAUAUACCGGUUCUCGUUAGAUCACCGAAGUUAAGCAUCAUUGGGCGCGGUCAGUACUUGGGUGGGUGACCACCUGGGAACACCGCGUGCUGUU
rnacentral:rRNA from 1 species